CCUACGUGGGGCAACAGUGGGGAAUAUUGCGCAAUGGGCGAAAGCCUGACGCAGCGACGCCGCGUGAGGGAUGAAGGUCUUCGGAUCGUAAACCUCUGUCAGCAGGGAAGAACGGUCACUGUGCUAAUCAGCAGUGAAUUGACGGUCCCUGCAAAGGAAGCACCGGCUAACUCCGUGCCAGCAGCCGCGGUAAUACGGAGGGUGCGAGCGUUAAUCGGAAUUACUGGGCGUAAAGCGCUCGUAGGCGGUAUGUCAAGUCAAGGGUGAAAUCCCCGCGCUCAACGUGGGAACUGCCUUUGAAACUGGCAAACUGGAGUGUGUGAGAGGAUAGUGGAAUUCCAGGUGGAGGAGUGAAAUCCGUAGAUAUCUGGAGGAACAUCAGUGGCGAAGGCGACGAUCUGGCACAUAACUGACGCUGAGGAGCGAAAGCGUGGGUAGCAAACAGGAUUAGAUACCCGGGUAGUC
rnacentral:rRNA from 1 species